rnacentral:rRNA from 1 species
ACGGAAGGCAGCAGUGGGGGAUAUUGCACAAUGGGCGCAAGCCUGAUGCAGCGACGCCGCGUGAGUGAAGAAGUAUUUCGGUAUGUAAAGCUCUAUCAGCAGGGAAGAAAAUGACGGUACCUGACUAAGAAGCUCCGGCUAAAUACGUACCAGCAGCCGCGGUAAUACGUAUGGAGCAAGCGUUAUCCGGAUUUACUGGGUGUAAAGGGUGCGUAGGCGGCAUGGCAAGUCGGAUGUGAAAGACCGGGGCUCAACCCCGGGGCUGCAUUUGAAACUGCCAGGCUGGAGUACAGGAGAGGCAGGCGGAAUUCCUAGUGUAGCGGUGAAAUGCGUAGAUAUUAGGAGGAACACCAGUGGCGAAGGCGGCCUGCUGGACUGUUACUGACGCUGAGGCACGAAAGCGUGGGGAGCAAACAGGAUUAGAUACCCUGGUA